CGACUAUGCUGCAGUCACA
rnacentral:snRNA from 1 species